rnacentral:rRNA from 1 species
AUUGAACGCUGGCGGCAUGCCUUACACAUGCAAGUCGAACGGCAGCACGGGUGCUUGCACCUGGUGGCGAGUGGCGAACGGGUGAGUAAUACAUCGGAACAUGUCCUGUAGUGGGGAAUAGCCCGGCGAAAGCCGGAUUAAUACCGCAUACGAUCUACGGAUGAAAGCGGGGGACCUUCGGGCCUCGCGCUAUAGGGUUGGCCGAUGGCUGAUUAGCUAGUUGGUGGGGUAAAGGCCUACCAAGGCGACGAUCAGUAGCUGGUCUGAGAGGACGACCAGCCACACUGGGACUGAGACACGGCCCAGACUCCUACGGGAGGCAGCAGUGGGGAAUUUUGGACAAUGGGCGAAAGCCUGAUCCAACAAUGCCGCGUGUGUGAAGAAGGCCUUCGGGUUGUAAAGCACUUUUGUCCGGAAAGAAAUCCUUGGCCCUAAUACGGUCGGGGGAUGACGGUACCGGAAGAAUAAGCACCGGCUAACUACGUG